rnacentral:rRNA from 1 species
CACGUAGGGGGCGAGCGUUGUCCGGAAUCAUUGGGCGUAAAGAGCUCGUAGGCGGCUCGGUAAGUCGGGUGUGAAACCCCCCAGGCUCAACCUGGGGACGCCACCCGAUACUGCUGUGGCUAGAGUCCAGUAGGGGAGUGUGGAAUUCCCGGUGUAGCGGUGAAAAUGCGCAGAUAUCGGGAGGAACACCAGCGGCGAAGGCGGCACUCUGGGGCUGGAACUGACGCUGAGGAGCGAAAAGCGUGGGGUAGCAAACAGGA